UCUCUUCGCGGGUGGGGGUGAGUGAGGAGGUUGGGGUGACCCCGAUCUCCUUUCUCACCCCCCCCGUGCCGCAG
rnacentral:pre_miRNA from 1 species